GACGAACGCUGGCGGCGUGCUUAACACAUGCAAGUCGAGCGGUAAGGCCCUUUCGGGGGUACACGAGCGGCGAACGGGUGAGUAACACGUGGGUGACCUGCCCUCAGCUCUGAGAUAAGCCUGGGAAACUGGGUCUAAUACCGGAUAUGACUCCAUGACGCAUGUUGUGGGGUGGAAAGCCUUGUGCGGCUGAGGAUGGGCCCGCGGCCUAUCAGCUUGUUGGUGGGGGAUGGCCUACCAAGGCGACGACGGGUAGCCGGCCUGAGAGGGCGACCGGCCACACUGGGACUGAGACACGGCCCAGACUCCUACGGGAGGCAGCAGUGGGGAAUCUUGCGCAAUGGGCGAAAGCCUGACGCAGCGACGCCGCGUGAGGGAUGACGGCCUGG
rnacentral:rRNA from 1 species